rnacentral:rRNA from 1 species
CACGCAGGCGGUCGUGUAAGUUUGGGGUUACAGCUCCCGGCUCAACUGGGAGAGCGCCUUGAAGACUGCAGGACUUGAGGGCCAGAGAGGGACACAGAAUUCCGGGUGUAGUGGUGAAAUGCGUAGAUAUCCGGAGGAAUACCAAAGGCGAAGGCAGUGUCCUGGCUGGUGUCUGACGCUCAGGUGCGAAAGCUAGGGGAGCGGAACGGGAUUAGACUACCCCGGUAGUCCCUAGCCGUAAACGAUGACCACUAGGUGUGCGGGGUAUCGACCCCCUGCGUGCCGGAGCUAACGUGAUAAGUGGUCCGCCUGGGGAGUACGGUCGCAAGAUUAAA